ensembl:lncRNA
GAGUAUCUGUGUACAUGGAUGAAUGUAAAUGUGUCUGCGUGUAGUCAACUGCUGUUGUUAACACACGAUGACGUUUCAUAUUCAUUCUUCUAAUGUUACUCUGCUAUAUUAUAGAUAUUGUUGCGUCACAGACGGAUUUCUAUCCUACAAACGUUCUAUUGCGUUUUACUGUUAAAAUGUGCGCACUUCCGGUUUAGCGGCUGCGCUUCGGUUUCGUUUUAAAAGGAACAAACAAAAAGGGAUUUACAGACAAACAGAUCGGUCGUUUUUUCGUGUUUGGAUUUGGACAGAAAAGGACAUUUACUCUUUUGGUUUAAAUGUUAUUGUGUUAUUUCCGUUUUAUUUCCGUAUUUUUCGUCUAAACGGUAAAGGAACUUUGCAAAGGUUGACGGCCCGUUAACACACAAACACACAGUAAACACACGCUGUGUGUCACGGGACAUACUCACACGAUGUGACACUUUAAGACGUUAAAGUGAAGCUUGGUGACUUUCUACGCGUCUCCCUCACGUCUUCUUCUUCUUCUUCUUCUUCUUCUUCCGGUUUGUUCUGGCGGGUCGCAACCAGCGUCACGUGACCAGGUGCAUCGCGCCACCUGCUGUACCGGAGUGUGCAGGUUCAGGGUUUAUUGCUCAGCCUGCCGCUGUUACCUGGAUCCUACGACCUGGUCCCGUCUCUUCUAUGAGACGCAUCAGGGGUCUAAAGCAGUCGGGCCCACCCUGCUCCACUGACACGACUCCCUCCACACUCCACUUCCGUCCCCGGUGGACAAUACCUCCUUGUAGAAACAUCUCGUUUUAGCAGCUCCGUUCACCGGAACAUGGAGGAGAAACACACAGAAACGGAAGCGAAAAGACUCCGAAAGCUCGUGUUGCUGUAAACGUCUUCCGGAUAAACGCUGUGUGUGACGGAGCAGCAGAGGAAACUAAUUCACAGUAAAUAUAAAUAUCAGACAUGAAAGUGUCUCAAUGGAGCAGAUCAGAGUUGUUAGAGCCUCGAGGGGCGAAGAGCAAAGAGGAAAAGGGCGGCGUUUACCCUGAACACCCGUCCACAGCAGCACAGAGAGAACGGCCCCCCCUCACCCACUGAGGGACACCGUGCACAUCAGGAGCCCAACGACACGACCAACGUCCAACAAACAGGCGUUUAAAAAGGGCGGCAGUGCUACUUUCUGCACGGACGCUUCAGCUUCACCAUUGGAAAUCCAUAUGGAGUGUGUUGGAAUGAGUGCGAGCUCCAGUUUUGACAGGAGACGCUCCAACGUUUGAGGCCGGAGGACAUGCUGUGGAGAACAAUGAUGUCCACUUUAGGAAAAAGAUAUUCAUUGACUGCUGUAAAACGUCUCUCUAGCGUGUUGUG